AGUGAACGCUGGCGGUAGGCCUAACACAUGCAAGUCGAACGGCAGCACAGUAAGAGCUUGCUCUUACGGGUGGCGAGUGGCGGACGGGUGAGGAAUACAUCUGAAUCUACUUUUUCGUGGGGGAUAACGUAGGGAAACUUACGCUAAUACCGCAUACAACCUACGGGUGAAAGCAGGGGAUCUUCGGACCUUGCGCGAUUGAAUGAGCCGAUGUCGGAUUAGCUAGUUGGCGGGGUAAAGGCCCACCAAGGCGACGAUCCGUAGCUGGUCUGAGAUGAUGAUCAGCCAGACUGGAACUGAGACACGGUCCAGACUCCUACGGACGGCCGCAGUCGGGAAUAUUGUACUACGGGCGAGAGCCUGAUCCAGCCAUACCGCGGGGGUGCAGAAAGCGUUCGGGUUGGAAAGACCUUUUGUUGGGAAAGAAAAGCAGCAGGUUUAUACGCCGUUGUUCUGACGGUACCCAGAGAAUAAGCACCGGCUAACUUCGUG
rnacentral:rRNA from 1 species